CACUAUAGUGUACUAAAACACACAUGUAUCGACACAUACGCCGGGGUGCCUUGAAAGAGGUCGGUUGUAUGGGAUACAUGGAGGCCCAAC
rnacentral:sRNA from 1 species